rnacentral:rRNA from 1 species
UACGGAGGAUCCAAGCGUUAUCCGGAUUUAUUGGGUUUAAAGGGUGCGUAGGCGGUUUAUUAAGUCAGGGGUGAAAGACGGCAGCUUAACUGUCGCAGUGCCUUUGAUACUGAUGAACUUGAAUGUACUAGAAGUAGGCGGAAUGUGAUAAGUAGCGGUGAAAUGCAUAGAUAUGUCACAGAACACCGAUUGCGAAGGCAGCUUACUAUGGUAUUAUUUACGCUGAGGCACGAAAGCGUGGUGAUCAAGCAGG